AUUGAACGCUGGCGGCAGGCCUAACACAUGCAAGUCGAACGAACCCUUCGGGGUUAGUGGCGGACGGGUGAGUAACACGUGGGAACGUGCCUUUAGGUUCGGAAUAACUCAGGGAAACUUGUGCUAAUACCGAAUGUGCCCUUCGGGGGAAAGAUUUAUCGCCUUUAGAGCGGCCCGCGUCUGAUUAGCUAGUUGGUGAGGUAAUGGCUCACCAAGGCUACGAUCAGUAGCUGGUCUGAGAGGAUGACCAGCCACAUUGGGACCGAGACACGGCCCAAACUCCUACGGGAGGCAGCAGUGGGGAAUCUUGCGCAAUGGGCGAAAGCCUGACGCAGCCAUGCCGCGUGGAUGAUGAAGGUCUUAGGAUUGUAAAAUCCUUUCACCGGUGAAGAUAAUGACUGUAGCCGGAGAAGAAGCCCCGGCUAACUUCGUGCCAGCCGCCGCAGUAAGAC
rnacentral:rRNA from 1 species